AAUAAACCAACUUUUCACUUUUUAUCUAUAAUUUUUGACUCUUCGUCUUAUUUAAAUUUCUUUUGCGAUUGAUAUUUUUGUUUUUAUUAGAUAAUAAAUCAUAAAUAAUACUGUACGUGUGACUAAUUUUUUUCUAAUUUUCUAAAAAUUUUUCAAAUAAGACGAAUGGCCAAAAGGCACACGAAAAAU
rnacentral:pre_miRNA from 1 species